rnacentral:lncRNA from 1 species
GACCACUCGUGUGUGGAUGAGAGCCCCUACUGUGUGCAAAGAAAUGAACUGAGCUCUCUGGCCUCACACCCUAAGCCCAACCCUGAUCCACUAAGCACUGGCAGCUUCAGGCCCACCACUGCUGGCCUCCCAUCUCUUUCUCCAAGCAACGGGGUUCCCGGCACAGGGCUCUGCCCAUCAACAUUUGUCAUGAGAUGAGCUUUCCACCAUUCACACUACUUCUGUGCCCACCACGCAGUGAUGGAGUCACCAGUGUCUUCCUCGAGGCCUCAUAUUGGCCCCUGGAGUCAGACAAUGAGCAUCAGAUCAGCGGCCACACCAGGUAUGGAUUGGUGACCAGCUGUGUGUGGACCUUGGGCAAGUCCCUUCCUCUCUCCUCCUGAGCCUGUUUCCUCUUUGUUGUUGUUGUUGUUGUGGCAGGGUCUCAAGCUUUUGCCCACGCUGGAGUGCAGUGGCAUGAUCUCGGCUCACUGGAACCUCUGUCUCCCGGGUUCAAGCGAUUCUGCUGCCUCAGCCUCCCGAGUAGUCGGGACUACUGGCACAUGC